GUGUUAACUUACGGGUGUCUUUCUGCUUCUUCUUAGAAGCUCAAAGUCUGAGAUUAUACCGUACGGACUCGAUCAAGUUGAAACUUGCGUGAGGAUAGUUAGCACAAAAUAU
rnacentral:ncRNA from 2 species